rnacentral:rRNA from 1 species
UAGCUAAAUGCGGAAAAGAUAAGUGCUGAAAGCAUCUAAGCACGAAACUUGCCCCAAGAUGAGUUCUCCCUGACCCUUUAAGGGUCCUGAAGGAACGUUGAAGACGACGACGUUGAUAGGUCGGGUGUGUAAGCGCAGCGAUGCGUUGAGCUAACCGAUACUAAUGAACCGUGAGGCUUAACCUUACAACGCCGAAGGUGUUU